CAGAGACCAGUGAUUGGUCAGACCAUUGAUAUGUAUAGAAGACAGCGCGCUAGCGUAUCUAGUGUGUGUAUAUCUAUGGUCGGCAUGUCUGGUAGCAUCUCUGGCUGCUGUUGACCUUGUUUUUGGAGUAAAACACGGUGGAAGCUGAAUUAGUGAGGAUGACUCCUGCUCCUGUCAUCUCUAAGCUCCUCACACAUCUUUACCUGCACAUGAGGAAAAUCACUCCUGUAGAAUGCAGAUGUUCAGAGGGAGAUGAUGCCACAUCUGGUCCAGCUGAUGGAAGGUCUUGAAGUUCUCUGACUGGCCUCGACUGAAGAUGGUCGUCUCACUGGAUUUAAGGUUCAGAUGCUCAGUAAUAAACUCCACCAAUGAGCCAACAGGGAAGCUUUAGGUUUAUUAAAUGUUGCUCUGAAGGUAUCACUGUUUUUCUUUGUGAAUGCAAUGUGCUCCAACUGAAACUUGAAUUAGAACUUAGAAGUAAAUCCUUCCAUCUGAAAGGACUUAGUUGCAUUAAUAACCUCAUAACAUUCUAAUUUAUAUUUCAGUCUUGGUUGGAAAUAGAAUCUCUGUAUUGAUUCAGGUAAAAACUGAACUUCACAGCAUGUUAGAGCAAAACAACCAGAUGAAAACUGUGAUGGUGUUGGAUUGUCAGACCGUAAUGUUGCGGCUCAAAGCAGCUUUUCUAGCUCAGUUCAUUCUGAGAUUCAGCUAUGAAUCAACACAGCAGAUGGUGAUCCAUGCUGUGGAAGUGUCACAUCUCCUGAUUUAAUGGAGAUGCUUUGCACUUUUUACACUGUUUAUUCACCAACACUUUAUUUUAUAAAAGUCCCAUCUAGUUUUUUAUGAGGAAUGUGAUGUUUUAAUUUCUCUGUGAAUAACUGCAGUCUAAUGCAACAGCUGGAGUUGUAACAUCUGUCCUGAUAUUGAUCAUGAAGUAUUGAUCAGAAUACUUAUGGUCAGCAGUCAUCCCUGAAGUUUUACAUUAAAAUCUUUACUUGUGUUGUGAACUUUGGUAAGAAGCAGAAAUGUUAGCGUUGCCAUGGAUACAUGAGUGUUAAAUUCUGUCCAUGUUUCCAUUUUGGGAAAUGCAGUCCAGUUCCAGAAUGUGGAGGAAUUUAGUCUCACAAUCACAGACAAUAAAUAUUAUCUGAAAGUCGGGUUAUUGUUGUUUAUCAGCACAAUACAAAAAGAUUAAUGUUAGACAUAUUCCAGUUAAGACCCUAUAAUAUCAUGAUUUAUGUAAAUUUACCUCAAUAAUAUGAAUGUUCAGGUUAAGAUUGUACAGUGAUACUUAUUAUGGAAGUUUAGCUGAUUAAAGUUUAUGACUGCACUAAAAUAUUAUUUAAAUUGACAUCAUUAUUAUAAUAUUUAGGGUCAGACCCUACAUUAUUGAGAUUAAGAAAUCAAAUAUCCUAUAAAGGGCUGCACAGUGGUGUAGUGGUUAGCACUUUCGCCUUGCAGCAAGAAGGUCCCUGGUUCGCGUCCCGGCUUUCCCGGGAUCUUUCUGCAUGGAGUUUGCAUGUUCUCCCUGUGCAUGUGUGGGUUUUCUCCGGGUACUCCGGCUUCCUCCCACAGUCCAAAAAUAUGCUGAGGUUAAUUGAUUAUUCUAAAUUGCCCGUAGGUGUGAAUGUGAGAGUGAUUGUUUGUCUUUGUAUGUAGCCCUGCGACAGACUGGCGACCUGUCUAGGGUGUCCCCUGCCUUCACCUGAGUCAGCUGGGAUAGACUCCAGCCCCCCUCCGCGACCCUAGUGAGGAUUAAGCGGUGUAUAGAUAAUGGAUGGAUGGAUAUUCUAUAAAAUGUAAAUAUACUGAACUCAUUUGGAUAUAUUUAAGUGAGACUACAGUAUUGUAGUAAAUCUAUCUAAAUCAAAAUUUUAAUAAUUUUCAUGCCAAACAUUUACUGGACUGAUUUAAACAUUAAAAGCACUCCUUUCUAAUCCUCUGCUGUACGUUCAAACCUGAGGCCUUAAAUCAAAACACAAGUAUCUGAUUGAAGGAACUUCUGCAGAGUCCUGGUUCCAGAACAUGAUGAUAGAAUUAUAGACAAACUUUAACAAAAGCUGCCUGAGAGUUUACAGGUUUUUAUGUUAGAUUUCUUUAGUAAUUUAAUGAGUUAUCAGCAAAAAUCAAGUGUUCAUUUGAUGAACUUCAUUUCCUAAAACAUCCAGAAUUGGAGCUCAUAUCUUUGGCAGCUGGAAAGUUUCUGCUCCUUCAAAGUAAACAACAUGAAUUGAUUCCUAAAACACUCUCAAUGCUGGAGAGCGUUUGAUGCUGAAGCAGUGACCACUUUUUCUGUUUCUUCUCUGGAGGUGCACAAUGAGGGACGUCUGCAGAGACUGAGAAAGAGUCUCACCACAUCCUGACAUGAGGAAAAAGACUUUAUUGAAGACUACAAUGAGAAAAACUAUCAGACAGCAGACGGCUGCAUUCAAGGUGAGCUCUGAACAUUUGAUCUGGAACAGGAAUUCAAUAACGGCAGCAUGAGCUUCAUUUCAGUCUGUAGCUGCUGAAUUCAUGGAUGAAUCAUCUGGCACUAGAGAGGAAGACCAUCAAACAUCCAUGUCAGCUGAUGGAGGUCCAAGAGUCUCACCAAACAAACAACCUACAGAGUGAAGACCUCCAUUCUGAUUGGACGGCCUCCUAUUCAGCCACAUGUGUGAACAAAUGCCUCUAAGCUGAUUUGUUUUCUAAAAUAAAUCUAGUUUGAGUCCUAA